CCUACGGGUGGCAGCAGUGGGGAAUAUUGCACAAUGGGGGAAACCCUGAUGCAGCGACGCCGCGUGAGUGAAGAAGUACUUCGGUAUGUAAAGCUCUAUCAGCAGGGACGAAAAUGACGGUACCUGAUUAAGAAGCCCCGGCUAACUACGUGCCAGCAGCCGCGGUAAUACGUAGGGGGCAAGCGUUAUCCGGAAUUACUGGGUGUAAAGGGUGCGUAGGCGGCAGCGCAAGUCUGGUGUGAAAUGCCGGGGCUUAACCCCGGGACUGCAUUUGAAACUGUGCAGCUAGAGUGCAGGAGAGGUAAGUGGAAUUCCUAGUGUAGCGGUGAAAUGCGUAGAUAUUAGGAAGAACACCAGUGGCGAAGGCGGCUUACUGGACUGUAACUGACGUUGAGGCACGAAAGCGUGGGGAGCAAACAGGAUUAGAUACCCUGGUAGUC
rnacentral:rRNA from 1 species